AAACUGGAGAGUUUGAUCCUGGCUCAGAACUAACGCUGGCGGCGUGCCUAACACAUGCAAGUCGUACGAGAAAGUCGGCUUCGGCCGAUGAGUAAAGUGGCGCACGGGUGAGUAACGCGUGGAUAAUCUGCCUUUUAGUUGGGAAUAACGUGCCGAAAGGUGCGCUAAUACCCGAUAAUACUGCAUAACGGCUGUUAUGUAGUCAAAGAAGGCCUCUGCUUGCAAGCUUUUGCUGAAAGAUGAGUCCGCGUACCAUUAGCUGGUUGGUGGGGUAAUGGCCUACCAAGGCGACGAUGGUUAGCUGGUCUGAGAGGAUGAUCAGCCACACUGGAACUGAGACACGGUCCAGACUCCUACGGGAGGCAGCAGUGAGGAAUAUUGCGCAAUGGGGGCAACCCUGACGCAGCAACGCCGCGUGAGUGAGGAAGGUUUUCGGACCGUAAAGCUCUGUCGAGCGGGAAGAAGUGCAUGGCGGCUAAUAUCCAUCAUGCUUGACGGUACCGCUAGAGGAAGCACCGGCUAACUCCGUGCCAGCAGCCGCGGUAAUACGGGGGGUGCAAGCGUUGUUCGGAAUUAUUGGGCGUAAAGAGCGUGUAGGCGGCCGAGCAAGUCAGAUGUGAAAUCCCCGGGCUUAACCCGGGAAGUGCAUUUGAAACUGCUAGGCUUGAGUAGGGGAGAGGAAAGUGGAAUUCCUGGUGUAGAGGUGAAAUUCGUAGAUAUCAGGAGGAACACCGGUGGCGAAGGCGACUUUCUGGCCCUAUACUGACGCUGAGACGCGAGAGCGUGGGUAGCAAACAGGAUUAGAUACCCUGGUAGUCCACGCUGUAAACGAUGUUCACUAGGUGUUGGGGGUAUUGACCCUCUCAGUGCCGCAGCUAACGCAUUAAGUGAACCGCCUGGGGAGUACGGUCGCAAGAUUAAAACUCAAAGGAAUUGACGGGGGCCCGCACAAGCGGUGGAGCAUGUGGUUUAAUUCGAUGCAACGCGAAGAACCUUAC
rnacentral:rRNA from 1 species